UAUCUCUGUAGAGUCUGCAUAUCAAUAAGCGGAGGAAAAGAAACUAACUAGGAUUCCCUCAGUAACGGCGAGUGAAGCGGGAAGAGCUCAAAUUUGAAAUCUUCAAGGUUCUACCUUGACGAAUUGUAGUUUAAAGAAGUGUUUUCUGUUGGAGUUUUGGUAAAAGUUCUUUGGAAUAGGACAUCAUAGAGGGUGAGAAUCCCGUAUUUGACCAUUAUUUCCAGCUUUGUGAUACACUUUCAAAGAGUCGGAUUGUUUGGGAAUGCAGUCCAAAAUGGGUGGUAAAUUUCAUCUAAAGCUAAAUAUUGGCGAGAGACCGAUAGCGAACAAGUACCGUGAGGGAAAGAUGAAAAGAACUUUGAAAAGAGAGUUAAACAGUACGUGAAAUUGUCAAAAGGGAAGCGUUUGACACCAGUGUUGUUUUCUCGAAAAUCAAUUAAAAAAGGCAGGAUUUUGUGUUGUAUUGACUUUAUCAGCUUUCUGCACUCUUUUCUUGUCUUUUUCUAAUGCACUUUUCGUUUAACAAGUCAACAUCAAUUUCUUUUGUUGUAAAAGGGUCAUUGGAAGGUGGCUUUCUUUUCGGAGAAAGUGUUUAUAGCCUUUGGCCUCUGCAAUCGGAGAGAUUGAGGUCUGCAGCGUAGAUCCUUCAGGGUUAGAUACAUUUGUGCUAAGUUAUAGCCUUUCAUAGACAACUUGUUGACUAUGAUCAGUCAUGUAGCUUACUCGCUUAUGCUAUUUUACCUACGCUUAGGAUGUUGAUAGUCACAGCGUGUAC
rnacentral:rRNA from 1 species